rnacentral:rRNA from 1 species
UAGCGAAAUUCCUUGUCGGGUAAGUUCCGACCCGCACGAAAGGCGUAAUGAUUUGGGCACUGUCUCAACAACACACCCGGUGAAAUUGAAAUACCAGUGAAGAUGCUGGUUACCCGCGCCAGGACGGAAAGACCCCAUGGAGCUUUACUCCAGCUUGAUACUGGGAUUCGGUAUUGCAUGUACAGGAUAGGUGGGAGGCUAAGAACUCAUGGCGCCAGCCGUGAGGGAGCCGAUGUUGGGAUACCACCCCUGCAGUACUGGGUUUCUAACCUGCGCCCGUGACCCGGGCGGGGGACAAUGUCAGGCGGGGAGUUUGACUGGGGCGGUCGCCUCCGAAAGGGUAUCGGAGGCGCUCAAAGGUUCCCUCAGAAUGGUUGGAAACCAUUCGAAGAGUGCAAAGGCAGAAGGGAGCUUGACUGCGACACCGACGGGUGGAGCAGGUACGAAAGUAGGACUUAGUGAUCCGGUGGUAUAAAGUGGGAUUGCCAUCGCUCAACGGAUAAAAGCUACCCUGGGGAUAACAGGCUUAUCACUCCCAAGAGUUCACAUCGACGGAGUGGUUUGGCACCUCGAUGUCGGCUCAUCGCAUCCUGGAGCUGUAGCAGGUUCCAAGGGUUGGGCUGUUCGCCCAUUAAAGCGGUACGCGAGCUGGGUUCAGAACGUCGUGAGACAGUUCGGUCCCUAUCCGGCGUGGGCGUAGGAUAUUUGAGAGGAGCUGUCCUUAGUACGAGAGGACCGGGAUGGACAAACCUCUGGUGUAUCUGUUGUUUUACCAAAGGCAUGGCAGAGUAGCCAAGUUUGGCAGGGAUAAACGCUGAAGGCAUCUAAGCGUGAAGCCCCCCUCAAGAUAAGAUAUCCCAUCUUCGGAGUAAGACCCCUUGAAGACUACAAGGUUGAUAGGCUUUGAGUGUAAGUGCGGUAACGCACUGAGCUGAGAAGUACUAAUAGGUCGAGGACUUAUCCUU